rnacentral:rRNA from 1 species
AUGCAAAAAUCACACGAAAAUUGGCUCUUGAAAGGGGAUAGAAAUACUGACUACUUCCACAGAAUUGUGAAUGGGAGGAGGUGGAGAAAUACUAUUUUUUCUCUUAGUUGUGGGGAUGUGAUUAUUGAAGGGAAUAAUAAUCUCUUGGAGCAUGCCACAAAAUUCUAUAAGGACCUUUUUGGGCCAGUAGUUGGAAACUUAUGUAAAAUGAAGGAAGAUAUGUGGGAAUCACAAGAGAAAUUGUCAGACAUUGACAACUUUAUCCUUACUAGACCCUUUUCUGAAACAGAAGUCAAGAAUGCGCUAUUC